AAGUUGCAACUGGGUUGGUACGCCAUCUUCAAGUCGUGGCCUUGAAUCUCUCUUACAUCAGUCUCAUUGCAGUCACCAUUCCUCCUCACCUAGCUACGCUAUCAGCAAAAAAUGAAGGCUUAUUUUUAACUACGCCUCUUUAAACUUGAUUUUAAUCUCACUUUGCCCAUGUAGCUAAGCUAUCAGCAAAAAAUGAAUGGUGUGUUUUAUAUGUAAAAAAUCCAAAUCACAAGUCUUCGUUCGACUUGUCUAAGUUUCCUCACUUCGAAGUAGAAGCCGAGCAAUGCAAGUCUCAGACGUAGAAGCCGGGCAAGUCUAAGUCGUGCACAAGUCUUGUUGUUACCAGAGGUGGAUCUACGAAGAGACCAGGGUGGUCUCGGGACCACCCGGAAGCUUGGAUAAAUGGUUGUGAGAACCUCCUAGGACCACCCAAGUCUGGGAAGUGGUAGAGAAGAGCAGCAGCCAUGGUUGCUGCGCUGUGCAAAACUAGAGGAGGAAGAAGAAAGCUUUUUUUUUUUUUUAAAUGACUUGGCAAAACGACAUCGUUUUGAGCCAAGUCAUUAAAAAAAAAAUUUAAAACCCACGUGAUAACAAUUUGAAAUUUAAUAAAAGCCCAUGGCUUUUUAUUGGUCUGCUUUCAAUCAAAUUCAACUUUAUCAAAUAUAAUAUACCUAAUUGCAUGCCGCUCCUAUUCCUCAUGCCACCCAAGCCAACGAAGGCCAUCAACAGAAAUUUCAGAAUUUCUGUAAGUUUUCUAGUUUAGUGUCAGUUCAUACUUAUUUUUAGUGUUAGUUCAUACAUAUUUAUUGUUAAUUUGUUUGGAUUUUUAGUUUUAUUUUUAUUUUUUUAAGAACACUAAUUAAAAACAAAAGGAUGAACAGUGAAUACAUAUAUGUAAGGGUCUUUGAUAAUGGUUUUUGGUAAGGAUUUUUGAUAAAAAGUCAAACAAUCAACACUAACGGGUUUUAAACUAAGUUCAGCCUUAUUCUUUGUUAAUUUCUUAAGAUUUUUUCAUAUCUAUUUUAGUGUUAGUUCAUACAUAUUUAGUGUUGAUUCGUUAGGAUUUUCUAAUAUUACUUGGAUUGUGUUACAAUGUAUUUUUUUUUUUUUUUUUUGUCGAAGAUUAUGUUACAGUGUUAGUUCAUACAUAUUUUUUGUCGAAGUUGUAUUUUUCCAUUUAUUUUUAAUGUUAUUUUCAUAUUUUUAUUUUUGAGCUUUUAUAUUAGGACCACUCUGUGUUAAAAUUAUGGAUCCGCCACUGGUUGUUACUUCUACUAUUACAACACAUACCCACCGCCUUUGGGCUUUGCAUGACAACCACGCAAAUUUACAAGCAACUAGACCUUUCUAGCAUGCACACCGACUUAGGCUUUGCCUAAUGUCCUCACAAUUUUACAACUUCCAAUAUGCAUUUCCACUAACAAAAUUUCUAGAGUUUUCUAGCAUGGUGCCACCGACAUUGUGUAUUGUUAGAAUUCUCUAGCGUGUGCAUGAAUCUUUCUUUGUGCAUGGGCUGGAUCCAUUGUCUUGGGCCAAGAGAAGAUUAGCAUUCAACAUCCCCCCUUAAUCUUGUCUUGUGACACCGAUUGAGUUCCUCAAUCUGACAAAGUCUUCUUGCCUGAGUGGCUUGGUGAAUAUGUCGGCGGCUUGGUCUUGAGACUUCACGUAUUCAACUUGCACAUCCUUUCUUGCAAUGCACUCUCUUAUGUAAUGGUAGCAGAUGAAAGGAAUGGCGGUGGCAAUGGUGGGAGAUGGAAUCAAUGACUCUCGGCCUUUAGUUGCAGGAGAUGUUGGCAUGGCAAUUGGUGCUGUCACCGACGUAGCUAUAGAAGCAGCUGAUAUAGUUCUGAGGAAG